GUCCGUGAGUAGUAAAGUGAGCUCAUUAUGUUCUCUUCUGUUAAAGAGAACAAUCUGUGCUUUGUGUUGGUGCCAACCUCUUAAUUUGAGUUUCAUGUUCAUACCUCCUUCUUUUUACAUUCACAGCUUUUUAUCAAAAAAAAAAAACAGCUCAGUCAUCAGUGAUAACCUUUUAAAUGCACUUAACAACACACUCUUUCUUUCUGUCACAAGUCCCUCCAUCUAAUUUGCCUGCUCUAGCUUUGCCUUUGUUGUUUUUAGCUAAGUUCCUGUCCAGGGGUCGACCUGCCUGUCGACCUGUGUCCUUGUCCAUGUAGAGUUUGCAUGUUUCGUUACGAUUGCUGGACUGGCUCCACCAGUUUUUCUGUGUCUCACUCCAUGGCCACACACACGUCCUCAUUUCCCCUCUGUUGGAUCUAUCAGCAAUCACAACAACAAUGACCCACACCACAGGGCUGGGUCAUUGUUUCUGGAAACCACUUCAGGUCAUGUGCUGUACAUCUUGCUUUGUUUUUCAGGAUCUUUUUGUUCUGUGCUAUGUCAUGUGCUAAGUCAUGCUCAUGCCAGGUUUGUUGUCGGUCCAUGUCUGCCGGUGGUCUCAUCCACUUUCCAAGCUCGGGUCCUCUACCAGAGGCCAGGGAGCUUAAGGGUUCUUUUCUGGACUGAGAUGUCGGAUGAUUUUCCAGGGAUCUGUUGUAGCCGAUCACCACAAGUACCACUGUGGCCUUCACCUUCCAAGCCUUCUCCAGUUCUUCUCAGAGCCCUUGGUAUUUCUCUAGUUUCUCAUGUUCCUUUUUUCUGAUGUUGCCAUCGCUUGGUAUUGCCACAUCCACCACUAUGGCUCCUCUGUUCUUUGUCCACCACCACAAUGUCUGGUUGGUUCGCCAUUACCAUUCUGUCAGUCUGGAUCUGGAAGUCCCACAGGAUCUUGGUUCGCUCGUUCUCUACCACCUUGGGAGAGGAGGCAGCAUCUGCAUCGAAACCCGCCACGCCUGGCUUUGGGCCGAGACAGGAACAUGUGCCGCUCACCUGCAGGGACCGGCUCAACACGCUGGAAUUAGUGCAGCCCAGGAGCAUCCCACACACCUGAGGCGCAUCACUACAUACCAGUGGCGUGCUGUGACGCACUGACUUCUCCAGAGUCAGACUUAGCUCAAUUUAUUUACUUAAAACAGAACUUUGACUUAAAAAAAUACCACAGGAUUUACCACUGGACCUAACACACUUAGAAUGGACAUUAAUAAAAAAAAGAGACUUUGCUUUCUGUUGCUACACAUGACUUCUUCCUUAUUUAGUUAACACAGGACUCGUACUUUUAGUUAACACAGGACUGCAAAUCAACACAAGGCUUUGGCUUUACUUGACUUCUAAAAAAAUCUAAGUAGGUGUCAGCAGUUAUUUUUAGAAAUCAGUAGCAGCCAAGCUCCUGUCGUCUUCCGUAGAGGCUAUUUCCUGUCUUGCCUCCUUUCGAGUUUUCUUUGCGCGAUCAAGGAAGUAAUUAUGUCAAACACACAUCGAUAAACGCAUUAAUGAGCUUGUAGCAAUAAAAAAUCUGCAUUUUGAUGGUGACAAGCUGUGAAACAGGAAGUGAUCGCUCCACGUAUUAACCCAUGUAAUGACGGCUCAAGAAUGGGAGCUGGAGCCCUGGGCUGAGGCUCGGCUCAUUGAUGCCUCUUCUCGCGUUUCUCCCCAAAUUAGGGCCGGAAAUGCGCAUUUUUAGCGAUUUUACUUGUGUUGUGAAAUGUUAAGAAAUUUUGAAAAAAUGUAGAGUAAAUACAUUUACACAGAUCAGUGGACAGAUAUUGAUUUCUAUUUUAUGUUAUUACGAAAUUCAUAUUAUUGUAUGUUGUCAGGCGAGGUGAGGCCCCGCCUCCCCUCCCUACCAUGACCGCACGUCACUGCUACAUACAUGUACAGUAACUAAACUGGUGAAGCUGGCUGUUGUAAUAGUGUCACAUACAAGUCAUCUUCAGUUUACUGUGAAUAAGUUCUUAGUUGCCAUUUUAACUGUGCAUCAUCAAUGCGACUGGUAUGUAUUUUAUUGCACAACAAUAAAAACUAAGACACUUUUAGCGAAAUGUGUUUGUGAGUGAUGAUAUAAACUCACUUCAUCCAUCUUUGUUAUGUUGCUCAGUUUUCAUGAUGAAGACAUUUUCUUCGUUGACAUGUGCAUCGCUCCAAAAGCAAAGCGCAGCUUUGAUCACCGUCCAUAAAACCAAACCAUUGCCUGAAAUCGUGUCAUGGUGAACUUGUUGAUUGCUGCCCGUAUUACUUGCUGCAUUGUUAUGGAGUCAAAUUAUAGUCAGAUUAGAUUUAUGUGUGUUAACCGAUCUAAGCGUGUGUUACCAAAUUUGUACUUUUAGACUUAGUGGGGCUAUACUAUGCUUACACUUAUAAUUUGGGGUGCUAAAAUUACGCGCAAACCGUGGCUAAAUUUACAAGUAAAAUAUCGUGACCUUAAAUUGUCUCCACACUCUGGCUAAUGAGCAAAGUUGCUGCAGUCCUUUGACGUGGCACAGCGGAUGCUGAAAGCUCCACAAGCAGCAACAAGCUAGUCCACUGACUGAUGACUUUAAUUAUACUUAAUGACCAGACAGGCAUGACGGCUCAUAUUCAUGUGUAUGAAGUGUGACGUUACUCUUGU